rnacentral:rRNA from 1 species
UACGGAGGGUGCAAGCGUCAAUCGGAAUUACUGGGCGUAAAGCGCACGCAGGUGGCUGAGUCAGUCGAUUGUGAAAGCCCUGGGCUUAACCUGGGAAUUGCAGUCGAUACUACUCAGCUAGAGUAUGGGAGAGGGUAGUGGAAUUCCCGGUGUAGCGGUGAAAUGCGCAGAUAUCGGGAAGAACACCCGUGGCGAAGGCGGCUCUCUGGGACGGUACUGACGCUGAGACGCGAAAGCGUGGGGAGCGAACAGG